ensembl:snoRNA SNORA66 Small nucleolar RNA SNORA66
AUAUAAACUCAAUCACUAACUGUGCGAUGUGGCAGAACGAGGGGAACCAGGUUUACUAAAGUAAUUGUAAUGAUAGAAAUGUAUUAGCCUCUGAAACUCCUGAGGUGGUCCAUUCUAUCCUAGUAUAGUA